CACGUAGGCACCAAGCGUUGUCCGGAUUUAUUGGGCGUAAAGAGCUCGUAGGCGGUUCGGUUAGUCGGGUGUGAAAACUUUGGGCUCAACCCAAAGCGUGCACUCGAUACUGCCGUGACUAGAGUUCGGUAGGGGAGUGGGGAAUUCCUAGUGUAGCGGUGAAAUGCGCAGAUAUUAGGAGGAACACCGGUGGCGAAGGCGCCACUCUGGGCCGAAACUGACGCUGAGGAGCGGAAAGCGAUG
rnacentral:rRNA from 1 species